AAUAUAAAUAAAAAUUACCACUUAGGUGAAGAGGCCUAAAUAAUAUAAAAAGACAAAAAGACCCUAUGGAGCUUUAUUUAACAACUCUUCCCACCUACACCCAUAACCCCCCAAGAAUAGUUAAAUUUAGUUGGGGCGACUGGGGAAAACUAUAAAUCUUCCCCCAAAAUAAGAAAAUAAAUCUACCAACAAUCCGUUACACGAAUAUAAAACCAGCUACCCUAGGGAUAACAGGCUAAUUCUUCCCGAGAGCCCACAUUAACGGAAGAGAUUGGCACCUCGAUGUUGGCUUAGGAUACCUACAAGAUGUAGAAGUCUUGAAAGUGGGUUUGUUCAACCCUUAAAAUCCUACGUGAUCUGA
rnacentral:rRNA from 1 species